rnacentral:rRNA from 1 species
AAAUUGAAGAGUUUGAUCAUGGCUCAGAUUGAACGCUGGCGGCAGGCCUAACACAUGCAAGUCGAACGGUAACAGGAAACAGCUUGCUGUUUCGCUGACGAGUGGCGGACGGGUGAGUAAUGUCUGGGAAACUGCCCGAUGGAGGGGGAUAACUACUGGAAACGGUAGCUAAUACCGCAUAACGUCGCAAGACCAAAGAGGGGGACCUUCGGGCCUCUUGCUAUCGGAUGUGCCCAGAUGGGAUUAGCUAGUAGGUGGGGUAACGGCUCACCUAGGCGACGAUCCCUAGCUGGUCUGAGAGGAUGACCAGCCACACUGGAACUGAGACACG